UCAUUUGUAUGAAUGCAGUUCAUGGUAAGAAAUAGGAUGCAGAUAAUGACAGUGAGUCACAAAUGAGAAUGGAGGGAGCAAAGCAGAGGAGGCCUUAACAGAGCUCACAUGUCGAAGCCAUGCUGGGCAGGUCAUCAUAUGGGUCCAAAGAAAGAUAUGACGAAGUUCAUCACUCUAGACAGGACCCUCGUGUGUCAUAUAUGAAUCCUGGAGGGAUAGCUUUCCCUAAUUUUCUUCCAGAUGUGCUCAUCAGCCAUCUGGAACUGUUUCCCAAGCUUCAUCCAUUAUGCAAAUGAGGCUUAAGACUCGUCAUGUUUCAUCUACUGAUACUAAUACAUUAACGCUGGAUGUUCCAGCACAAGCCCUUCGAAGACAUUGCCUUUGCAUGAGGCACUGGCUUGAGCUCACACCUCAUUACUUCUAAUGGCUCUGUGGCACUUGAGGUUACUGGGCUUCUAACUGCC